rnacentral:rRNA from 1 species
GACGAACGCUGGCGGCGUGCUUAACACAUGCAAGUCGAACGGAAAGGCCCUGCUUUUGUGGGGUGCUCGAGAGGCGAACGGGUGAGUAACACGUGAGUAACCUGCCCUUGACUUUGGGAUAACUUUAGGAAACUGGGGCUAAUACCGGAUAGGAGCUCCUGCUGCAUGGUGGGGGUUGGAAAGUUUCGGCGGUUGGGGAUGGACUCGCGGCUUACCAGCUUGUUGGUGGGGUAGUGGCUUACCAAGGCUUUGACGGGUAGCCGGCCUGAGAGGGUGACCGGCCACAUUGGGACUGAGAUACGGCCCAGACUCCUACGGGAGGCAGCAGUGGGGAAUAUUGCACAAUGGGCGGAAGCCUGAUGCAGCAACGCCGCGUGCGGGAUGACGGCCUUCGGGUUGUAAACCGCUUUCGCCUGUGACGAAGCGUGAGUGACGGUAAUGGGUAAAGAAGCACCGGCUAACUACGUG